rfam:Aureococcus anophagefferens strain CCMP 1984 chloroplast, complete genome.
GGAGAGAUGGCUGAGUGGUCGAAAGCGGUAGAUUGCUAAUCUAUUGUACAGUAUUCUGUACCGGGGGUUCGAAUCCCCCUCUCUCCU